rnacentral:rRNA from 1 species
UACAGAGGUCUCAAGCGUUGUUCGGAUUCAUUGGGCGUAAAGGGUGCGUAGGUGGUGAUGCAAGUCUGGUGUGAAAUCUCGGAGCUCAACUCCGAAAUUGCACCGGAUACUGCGUGACUCGAGGACUGUAGAGGAGAUCGGAAUUCACGGUGUAGCAGUGAAAUGCGUAGAUAUCGUGAGGAAGACCAGUUGCGAAGGCGGAUCUCUGGGCAGUAACUGACGCUGAGGAGCGAAAGCGUGGGGAGCGAACAGG